AUGGCUGUAUCAUCAGGUAGCCCUGUCAACCUCAACUCUCCAAGAACAUCCGAAAACCAAGUAUCAUCAGGUAGCCCUGUCAACCUCAACUCUCCAAGAACAUCCAAAAACCAAGGAGAUAAUUCAAAAUGCUCACCUGGAAAAGCCCAAAAUCCAAGCCCUACACCAGACUCAGUUAAAAAGCAACUGUUCAACAAGAAACCCAAACCUCCAUCUUCCUCCAUCACAAUAAAGAAAAGCAAGUGCAAACUGGGCAAGAAAAUUAAACACCCAAGUCCCUUCCGUCUUGAUUCUGGGGAAAUGGAGGCAAUCAUGCAUACGCUUUGUGCAUUAGGAGGGGAUGUCCAAGAAUUGAAAUUCAGACUCAAAACCCUGAAAAAGAGUUCAGCGCGGCAGAGUGAGAUGGAGGAGGUACAGCAAGUAGAGAUUCCUGCUGAAUUAGAACGAAAGUUCAAGUUUCCAAUCGAAUCGCAAGUGGUUCUUAACGAAUUCGAGAAAACAAUUCAAAGUGACCAAGAUAUUUUCAAAACUCUGGUGAAAGCUUACACUUGGCUACAUCGAAAUGACUCUUGUGUUGCUAAUACUGCCCGAGGAAUCGCAAAAGCAGUUGUGGCUGAAAGUUUGCUGUCUACUUUCUCCCUUCAAGGCGGGCGAGCCAAAAAUAAACCCCACAAACGGCCUUUCAAUGCAUUGGCACUCUACUCUUUGAUCAUUCGUAAGUGGCUUCUUCUCCUUCAUCAGACUUUUUUUUCUUCUUUUUCUUUUUUUUUUGGCUCUGCCAAAAAUAUCUAAAUUCAUACAAAUUAUUAAAAGAAAGUUGGAGAUAUUGCAAUAAAGAAUUUUUUGGGGUCAAAGAAAUGACUCGUGAAUACAUGGUUCCUCAUCAAAAUUUCACCAGAAAAACGAUUUGAGCAUGGUAAACGAGAUGAAAAAAUGCUGGCUAGCAAUAUCCCUUGUAUAAUAUCACAUUGUUUAAAUGGGGUGCGUCCUAUUCAAAGGAUGUUUGUAUUUUAAGAGCAAUAUCUUGGCAUAGAUUUAUUUUAUCUUACUUUCAACGCUCGAAUAGUUUUUCUAGUAAAAUUUUGAGUAUGAAUCAUACGUUCACAAGUCUUUUCUUUGACCCUGAAAAAUGACCUAAGUAUUCUUGGAACCAAGAUAUACCUAGUGAUUCUGCUGCAAAUGUGGAAUAUCACAAAAAGUCAGGAAUAAGAUUAUAUUAACUCAGGAAUUCGUUAUGUUGGCAAUCAUGACAAUCAAAAGUGUAUAAUUUCUAGCAUUCUGGGUUAAGGACUUGAGCCAGGCAUUCCUACUUGCGUUUCUUUUAUAAACCUGCCCUGUAAACUGUCCUAAUUUGCCACCAUUUAUCUUAUUGUUCUUUUUCUUAUUACAGAAGUUGUGAAAAAGAUUUGGAAAGUAUUCGAUGACCCUCAAAAAGAGGCGAAUAAUACGUUGGGACCGAUCCUUACUGGAUGUAAAUCCUCAGUUGAUGCAUUAGCCGCAAGUUAAAGGAGCAGUAGUUCAGUAGUCGCUAAAUUGUUUACCUUUUCAAUGUACCUUUUUUACUGUACCUUCUUUAUAUUUGUUUACUGUGGUGCAGGUUGUCUACACGACAUAUUCAUAUUAUAAUUAUUUACAUUCUCAUAAUGUAGCCACAUUAUAAGUCUCAGAUUUAGCUGCACAUUUAGAAUUGAUAGCUGAAUUCUAAUUAGAAUUUUUUAUUUUUUUUCAAUUCUAAAACUUAAUGUUGUAAUGUGUGUGAUUGCUAGUGAUCGUGUGACUUGAUUCUAUCUCAGAGCUACAAAAAUUCAGGAGCAACAGAAAAGUUGAUGGAUGUUCUGUGAAUUAAAAUGCUUAUAAAGACGUUUUUGCUCAUACUUUUGAUUGAAUAAUUUGGACAACCUGUGCUAACAGGCCACUACUAGUUUCUAAAUAUGUUUUCCUAUCUGCUAACAUUUAAUUUCUUGAUUCCAUUACUUUUAGCUGAUUGACAAUAGUCUAUAAUUGUUGCAACUAUUUAGUUCAUGUUGUGUCUUCGUUUAAUGAAGACUGUCACCAGUCGCUGUACUAGUUCGAUUACGUUUUCCUAUUUUCUAACAUACUUAAUUUCUUGACUCCACACCGUUCACUGAUAGACUCUAGUUUAUAAUUGUUCCAACAGUUCAAUUUUCAAUGUGCUCGACUCUUUAUUCACUGAAGACUGAAUUUUUGCCUUGCUUCAUUGUCUUGUUGAGUUGUAGUAAAUAAUUUUUCUCAAUGUAAUUUAAAAAAGGAUUGCAUCUUGUGUGUGCUAAUUAUAAUAGGAAAAAUUGGGAAAAUUUGCCUUAACACGCAUUUUAUUCAUGCAUUAAAUAAUAUGUGAGUAAAAUGUGUUUUUUAGGCAAAUUUUCUUCUUUUCUUUCUAUUGUAGUCUUUUGGUUUUGUUCCUAAAUGUAAUUUACAUUGUCUGUGAACUAGGUAAAGGUGUAGCACAUGGUCUAAUAUCAAGCUCAUUCAUCCGUUUUGAUUUUGUUAUACACUCACUUUAAAACUACAUCACUGGCAGCCCUCUUAUCCAAUUAUCAAGACUUAUACUUCAAAGCAAAUAAUACUUUCACUCUCGUUUGAUUAUCCUGUAACAGGAAAUGAGCUCUGAUUUUCAGUUUUUAAUCUUGACAGUUAACAACAGCCGCUUACUGUCAUGCGUGAAAUGUAUAAUUGUCAACAAAUUAUUUAUGUUUCCUUGCUCAAGCUCUUAUCUUACUUGUUGCCUAAAGGGACCGCUUCAUGGUGCUGCAGUUUUAAAUUGAGUACAUGAAUUAAAUUCAAUGCUUAUGUAGAUGAAUGCUUUUAUCUCUAACAUGCUGAUGUCUAGAUCUUGAUGUUGCAUUUGUUUUUGGUACCUGUUAUGUGAACAUAAGUCUGACAUAACUGUAAAUUACAUUUAUUUCAUUUUGAGUGCUAAUGGUUACCAUUGCCUUAGUAGGACAAUAAUGGUUCUUCCCUUGGAACGAAAUGUAAGGUUUCAUUUAUUUAGUAUUAGUAUUUGGCAAAAUUGAAAAUUUGAUCUUUCUUUUUUUGUUUUCUUCGGUAAAUAAUUUUAAUUAUUUAUUUAGUUUCUUCUUCAUGUUAGUCAUUGGGAAUGUUCAAAAUUAGAUUUUUUUCUCUCUUAUGUUUGGUAAAUGAUCUCAUUCAUUUAUUUGUUUUUUUUUUUAUUUAUAAUUUCGUUCUUUUAUAAAAGUAUUUAAUUACAUAUUCUCUUUUGAAUUUUACUAUUGCCAUACUCUCAUAUCCCAGAAAUUAAUUUCUGCUAUUCAAAUCAGAAAACUCAUGUAAAUGAGGUUGAUCUACUUGUUAUGAAAGUUCAGUUUUGUUCAUAGUUUGUUAAUUGGUUUAUUUAAGUUCGUAUUUGAUAAUUCAGGGUUUUCAUUAAAUUUUAUAUUCCUAAUAAAAAGAGCAGAAAAACAACAAAAUACUAUUAGAAUUAUAUCUUUCAAGUUUGAAAUGAUUUCAAGUGAAAUUUAAUGCUUUAAAAUAUUACAAAGUUGAAAGAAUUCUUGACAAACUGCAUAUUUUUUCUAUAAUUUUUAAUUCUUUGUUUGAGUCAAAGUUAGGAAGAAAUUCUAAACGUAAAUUUCUUUCCAUCUGCAAAACUAUGUGAAAACUCGAAAUUUCUCAUUAAUUUCGGCAAUUCUGUAAAAAUUUUAAUUUCUUCCAUAUUUUGCUAUCUCACGAAAAUUCAAAUUUUUUGAUACUUCUCGCAACGCUACAUGAAGUAUGAUCUUUUUAAAUUCAUUUGGCAACGUUGCUUAUGUAAUUUUCAUUUUAGAUUAUGUUAGCAACGCUUCCAAAAUUAGAAUUUACAGUUCAACUUGUCAACGUAUCAGAAAAUCUGAUUUUCGGAUAAUUUUGGCAACUUCCUGUAAAUAACCAGAAUUUUCGAUCAUUUUGGCAUAAAUUCGAAUUUCCUGUCAAUUCCGGCAAGAUCGGAUUUUCGAAUGGAUUCUGCAACGUUGUAAAAAUUAGGGUAGACUGAUAAAUUCCUCAAUUUUCAUAAAACCAUUUGGCACUGCCACAAAUAGCAAUGACAUUGCUAUUAAGUAUAGAUUUUCUUUAUCGAUCUGACCUGACGAAAUCGGGAAAAAUCGUCCAAAUGUUGACUGAGAAUUGCUACUUUAUAGCUAUAUUAUUGCAAUAUUUUUUACAACUUUAUACCUAUAAAUUGAUACAUUAUAUCAAUUUUUACGUUGAAAAAUGCUACUUGGGCAAGAGGACCACACACCUUGAGAUCGAAAAAAGUAAUUCUAUUAUUACCAACCGCUGUCUCACCAAAAGUUUUUUUUCUCUCUUCCUACAAAGAACAUACGUGUCUCUGGUGCCAUUCACUGUCAUCUGCCUAUUUCUAGUUGGAUGAAGUUUUCUGUAUUCACAAGUCCACUGGACAAUGAACUGCUUUACCGGUACGCUCUUUGAAGAAACCCAAUAAUCUUCCAUUACUUUUAUUCCUCCUUCAGCUUUGGCUUCAAAACAUCACCUUAGUGGAAUGCAAAUAGUCUAGGACUUCAUUAAAGUUUUGAAAACUUGACUUAAUUAUAUCAGGCCACGGCUAAUACCCUUUAUUAAUGGGAGAUCUUCGUAUUUAAUUUGCCACUUUCCCUUCGAAAGCUCCUCUUAUCUCAAUUUCAAGGAUAUGAAGGUGGAAUGAACAUGCAUGAAAUCUCUCUUUAAAGAGAUUGUCCCACUUUCCAUAAGAAAUGGCCGCAAGAGCUUUUCCAUCCAUACUUUCAGGAAUCAUAACGUUUCAUCGGAGAAGCCUAAAUCCGGUGUCAUUUCUCGUCUAGCCCCCCACCGGGAGGGGGAGCAGGGGGUCAAAGGUCAAACGCUCCGACCGCCAUAAUUUUUGAACGAAUCGUCGGAUCAACUUGAUCUUGAGCUCAAAUAAAAGCUCUUGACGAGACCUUUCAUUU
rnacentral:lncRNA from 1 species